AAGAAGCAAGACCGUGAGGUGGAGCAAAACUCAAAAACUUAGUCUCAGUUCGGAUUGUAGGCUGAAACUCGCCUACAUGAAGCUGGAGUUGCUAGUGAUCGCGAAUCAGCAUGUCGCGGUGAAUACGUUCCCGGGCCUUGUACACACCGCCCGUCACACCAUGAGAGUUGGCAAUACCCAACGUACGUGAUCUAACCCGCAAGGGAGGAAGCGUCCUAAGGUAGGGUCAGCGAUUGGGGUGAAGUCGUAACAAGGUAGC
rnacentral:rRNA from 1 species